AUUGAACGCUGGCGGCAUGCCUUACACAUGCAAGUCGAACGGCAGCACGGGGCAACCUGGUGGCGAGUGGCGAACGGGUGAGUAAUGCAUCGGAACGUGCCAUUGAGUGGGGGAUAACGUAGCGAAAGUUACGCUAAUACCGCAUAUUCUGUGAGCAGGAAAGCAGGGGAUCGCAAGACCUUGCGCUCUGGGAGCGGCCGAUGUCGGAUUAGCUAGUUGGUGGGGUAAAGGCCUACCAAGGCGACGAUCCGUAGCGGGUCUGAGAGGAUGAUCCGCCACACUGGGACUGAGACACGGCCCAGACUCCUACGGGAGGCAGCAGUGGGGAAUAUUGGACAAUGGGCGAAAGCCUGAUCCAGCAAUGCCGCGUGAGUGAUGAAGGCCUUAGGGUUGUAAAGCUCUUUCGGCCGGGAAGAAAUCGUAUGGGCUAAUACCCUGUGCGGAUGACGGUACCGGCAUAAGAAGCACCGGCUAACUACGUGCCAGCAGCCG
rnacentral:rRNA from 1 species